rnacentral:snRNA from 1 species
GUGCUUGCUUCAGCAGCACAUGUACUACAAUUGGAAUGAUACAGAGAAGACUAGCAUGACUUCUGCACAAGGAUGACAUGCAAAUUUGUGAAGCAUUCCAUAGUUUU